rnacentral:lncRNA from 1 species
AGAGGCAGAGCUGAGGGAAAGAGGGAAGCUUCUGUGUAGACGUCGACUUUACUCUUUGACCACCAUACCUUGCCUUUCAGUUUGUGGGUAGCUUAGGAAACCGAAGUCAGACAACAUAAUUGGCUUUUGGGGGAUAAGAAUUGUGUCUUUCGGAUGUUUCUCAUAGUGCUUUACAGGAUAUACCCUCAAAAGAAGCUGAAAAAAUUUUAAAAAGAAAGUCUGACACAUUUCAAUGCUGUGUUCAAGCCUUCUGUUUUCCAAAAGAGGCCAUCAGGUAUCACAGCAAAUCACUUUUGUGGAUUAUAAAAGGAAGGUGACUUGCAGCUCUAAAAUCUUAAAUUCUCUGCUCCAUGUUCUGUGUUUUAUAAAUAAGCAUAAUUGGUAUUCAGAAAAGAAAUCUGCAAUCUCAGCCUACUUCAGGAUGUUGAUCUCACUCCGGACAAGUAAACACCAAUACCACCAACCUGAGUAGGCCUUCCAUGAAAUACUGGGGACACUAAGAAGCCACACCCCCUGAAACAUUCUAUGGUCAUUCAGCAUUUGAAGCAAAUUGGAAAGGUGAAAAACCUGAUAAGUGGGUGCCUCAUGAGCUCACCGAAAAUUUUUUUAAAAAUUGUCGUUUUGAAGUGUCAUCUUCUCUUAUUCUAUGCAACAACAAUGAACCAUUUCUUGAUUGGAUUGUGAUGUGCGAGGAAAAGUGGAUUUUAUAUGACAACUGGCGAUGACCAGCUCAGUGGUUGGACCGAGAAGAAGCUCCAAAACACUUCCCAAAGCCAAACUUGCACCAAAAAAGGUCCUGGUCACUGCUUGGUGGGCUGCUGCUGGUCUGAUCCACUGCAGCUUUCUGAAUCCCUGGGAAACCAUUACACCUGAGAAGUAUGCUCAGCAAACCAAUGAGAUGCACCAAAAACUGCAAUGCCUGCAGCUGGCUUUGGUCAACAGGAAGGGCCCAAUUCUUCUCCACCACAAUGUCCGACUGCACAUCACAACCCACGCUUCAGAAGUUGAACAAAUUGGGCUACGAAGUUUUGCCUCAUCUCCCAUGUUCACCUGACCUCUCGCUGAGAAGUAGCUUUGGAGCUUCUUCUCGGUCCAAACACUGAGCUGGUCAUCGCCGGUUGUCAUAUAAAAUCCACUUUUCCUCGCACAUCACAAUCCAAUCAAGAAAUGGUUCAUUGUUGUUGCAUAGAAUAAGAGAAGAUGACACUUCAAAACUACCACUUCUUCAAGCAUCUCAACAACUUUUUGCAGGGAAAAUGCUUCCACAACCAGCAGGAUGCAGAAAAUGCUCUCCAAAAGUUUGUCAAAUCCUGAAGCAUGGAUUUUUAGGCUACAGGAAUAAACGUAUUUCUCACUGGCAGAAAUUUAUUGAUUGUAAUGAUUCCUUUUUUGGUUAAAGACAUGUUUGAGCCUAGUUAUAACGACUUACAAUUCACGGUCCAAAACUGCAAGUACUUUUUGCACCAGCGAGAUGUGCAUAUGAGAAGCUUAUUUCACCAAGCCUCUUAUCUAGUCAUCUGUAUAAUUAUUUCAAGCACAGGAGGGACCCUACUUCUUACUGGGGAGGAUUAAGGAAGGCUUCCUGGAGGAUUGUCUCAGAGCUUGCUGCAGGUGCAUAUUGAAAAGCAAUUCAUUACAAUUUUCUAUAAGAGACUGUGGCUGAACAAUGAUACACAGGUAUGGUCAGAACUUUGUGUAACAAUUUCUGCAUCACAUGUGUAGAAAUCUUAAGGAAAGGAAUACUCUCUCUCAGCAAGUUGAGCCCUGUAGCCAGAUACUUUGAGUAGUGUUUCCUGAAUCUUUAAAACCCACUGACUUCAAAUGGCAUGACUUCCAGAGUAUAGAGAUUAGCAAACUGAGGCUUGGAGAAGUGGAAAACUUGCCUAAGAUUAAACAGCAUUAAAGGAACAGAGGCUGGGCUUGCAACUCAGCUCUGGGACUCCAAAGUCUGCCCUUUCCAACUACAUCGUCUUGCUGAUCGCGAGCUCAGUUGAUGGUAAAGACCUGUGAUUUUGGCCAUUACAAACAGUGCUGUUGUGAAUGUUGUGCCUGCCUGUCUUCCAGCUGGACAUAGAGGUCAUUUUGACUGGCGCGGCAGAAUGAGGAGGGACAAGGUAGAGUAUGAGGAUCUCACUUUUUCUGUGAUUUGGUGAACAACAUGAACAACACUGGAGUUUAAAUGUUCCUAAGAGAGUCCCCAGGCUGUCCCUCAACACCAAGCCUCAGCAGCACAUGGGGAUGAACAGGGCACAGCGUCAGUUAAAAUUCAGUCUGUAGGAUCCGCAUUUCUCACCUGUGUCAGAGACACCUGGAUCCCACCCUGCAGGCCCCUCUCCCCUACCAAAGGUCUGUUGGGGCAACUCCCAGAGGGAAUCCAACAUGUGCCCUUGAUUUAGGCAAAUGUAGCUGUGAACGUUCUAAAGAGGAAUAGGAAAGAAGGGGCCUUGGUAUCAGAAUAGACUGAGCAGAAGAGAAAGACCCAGAAAAAGAAAGUAAUAGUAUAUGAUAAGGGGAGCAUUAAUCAAUUAAUUGCAGUGGGAGAAUCUGGCUAAGCAUUGGGGAAAACAGAAAAUUAUUUAGUCCAUAGCUCAUAUCAAAAUUAACUUCCGUAAAAAUAUGACAAUAAAAUAUGGGCAAUUUUUUUUUUUUUUACAACAGAGAAGGAGAGAGACUUUCUAUAUAAUCCAAAAAGUAAACCACCAUCAUCAUCAUCAACAUCUAAUACUCUGUGCUUUACUUCUAUCAAGUAAUUUAAUCCUCACAAUCACUUUGUUUGGUAACAUUAAUUUUUCUCAUUUUCUACAUGGUAAAAUUGAGGCACAGACAGGGUAAUUUUCCAAAGGCCCCAACAAGUGGCAGUGCCAGGAUUCAAAGCAAACAAGUAUGACUUCAGGGUUCCUCCUUCUAUAUUACCACAAAAGAAAAUAUUGAGAGAUGUGAAUACACGAAUUAAAAGCUGUAUGAAAAAAAAUCAUGUAGAGGAAAGGACAAAUGACUGGCGGAGGAGGGGGAAUCCCACCACAUAUGUAACAGAUAAAGCAUUAAUAUCCUUUACAGAACAAUUUCUCAAAUGUUAGUGCUCAGAACACCAAUGUCCUGAACCAUGCCAAUGGGUGUUCUGGGAGGAAAAAGAAAAAAGUCCUCACGGUCAAUGAAGUUUAGGAAAUGAUGUGUUAAAUCUGACCAUGGAAGUCUUUUUUCCCCUCAGUUCACCUAUUAACAUCUCACGGGACAAUAAAACUUCUGAAAUACAGCCCAGAAGAUCUCAUCUUUGUAUGUAAUGAGUUCCUACAAAUCAGGAAGGAAAAUAUGAAAAAUCCCAAUAGAAAAAUGGACGCGAGAAAAAACAGACAGUUCAAAAAAGAAAAAAUAUAAAUAGCUGUAAGCAUACAGAAACAUAUUCAACCUUGUUAUUAACGAAGGAAAAUGAAAUACAGAGGUACCAAUUUUUAUCUUUCAAUUGGGAAAAAAGGCUUACACCCAGCAUUUGUAAGAGUAGGAGGAAAAAACCACACUCUUACAAAAUCAGUGAGAUUGACUAAACAAGUACACCUUUUCUAUGGGAGGGCAAUUUGGCACUAUGUAUCAAAGGUCUUAAAAAAAUAUAUAACUUGAUCUAGCAAAGUUUGUUCAGAGAAACUUAUAAAGAAAUACAGUAGGUCCUAGAAUAAUGUUUUUCCUGUCAUUCAACAUUAUUUUCUUGCAACAUUGACAAGAAAAAAUAUUGAUUCCCUGCCGGGGCCACUGUCUGUGUGGAGUGUGCACGUUCUCCCCAUGUCUGCAUGGCUUCUGUCCAUGCACUCCCGUUGCCUCACACAUUCUGAAGCUGUGCAUGCUAGGUGAACUGGCUUGUCUCAAUGGCCCCAGUCUGAGUGGGUGUGGGCGGGUGUGUGAGUGCACCCUGCGAUAGGAUGACGUCCUGUCCAGAGUUAGUUCCCACCUUGCACCCUGAGCUCCCAGGACAGGCUCUGGUCACCCAAGACCCUGAACUGGAAUAACUGGGUAAAAAAUGACCUGACUUAUUUUUAUUAA